rnacentral:rRNA from 1 species
UACGUAGGGGGCAAGCGUUGUCCGGAUUUAUUGGGCGUAAAGAGCGUGUAGGCGGCUAGAUAGGUCCGUUGUGAAAACUCGAGGCUCAACCUCGAGACGUCGAUGGAAACCAUCUGGCUAGAGUCCGGAAGAGGAGAGUGGAAUUCCUGGUGUAGCGGUGAAAUGCGCAGAUAUCAGGAAGAACACCCGUGGCGAAGGCAGCUCGCUGGGACGUAACUGACGCUGAGACGCGAAAGCGUGGGGAGCAAACAGG